rnacentral:tRNA from 5 species
GGAGAGGUGUCCGAGUCGGCCGAAGGAGCUCGCCUGCUAAGCGAGUAUACGGGCUUAAACCUGUAUCGAGGGUUCAAAUCCCUCCCUCUCCGCCA